UGUUUGAUGUUCUAACGUGGACCCGUGAUCCGGGUUGCGGACAGUGUCUGGUGGGUAGUUUGACUGGGGCGGUCUCCUCCUAAAGAGUAACGGAGGAGCACGAAGGUUGGCUAAUCCUGGUCGGACAUCAGGAGGUUAGUGCAAUGGCAUAAGCCAGCUUGACUGCGAGCGUGACGGCGCGAGCAGGUGCGAAAGCAGGUCAUAGUGAUCCGGUGGUUCUGAAUGGAAGGGCCAUCGCUCAACGGAUAAAAGGUACUCCGGGGAUAACAGGCUGAUACCGCCCAAGAGUUCAUAUCGACGGCGGUGUUUGGCACCUCGAUGUCGGCUCAUCACAUCCUGGGGCUGAAGUAGGUCCCAAGGGUAUGGCUGUUCGCCAUUUAAAGUGGUACGCGAGCUGGGUUUAGAACGUCGUGAGACAGUUCGGUCCCUAUCUGCCGUGGGCGCUGGAGAACUGAGGGGGGCUGCUCCUAGUACGAGAGGACCGGAGUGGACGCAUCACUGGUGUUCGGGUUGUCAUGCCAAUGGCACUGCCCGGUAGCUAAAUGCGGAAGAGAUAAGUGCUGAAAGCAUCUAAGCACGAAACUUGCCCCGAGAUGAGUUCUCCCUGAGACUUUAGGUCUCCUGAAGGAACGUUGAAGACGACGACGUUGAUAGGCCGGGUGUGUAAGCGCAGCGAUGCGUUGAGCUAACCGGUACUAAUGAACCGUGAGGCUUAACCUUACAACGCCG
rnacentral:rRNA from 2 species